GGCGGAGUGUCGGAGUGGUUAUCGAGAUAGACUAGAAAUCUAUUGCCUUCGGGCGCGCAGGUUCGAAUCCUGUCUCCGUCG
rfam:Torrubiella hemipterigena genome assembly, contig: SCAF2